GACGAACGCUGGCGGCGUGCCUAAUACAUGCAAGUCGAACGCUUCUUUCCUCCCGAGUGCUUGCACUCCAUUGGAGAGAGGAGUGGCGGACGGGUGAGUAACACGUGGGUAACCUACCCAUCAGAGGGGGAUAACACUUGGAAACAGGUGCUAAUACCGCAUAACAGUUUAUGCCGCAUGGCAUAAGAGUGAAAGGCGCUUUCGGGUGUCGCUGAUGGAUGGACCCGCGGUGCAUUAGCUAGUUGGUGAGGUAACGGCUCACCAAGGCCACGAUGCAUAGCCGACCUGAGAGGGUGAUCGGCCACACUGGGACUGAGACACGGCCCAGACUCCUACGGGAGGCAGCAGUAGGGAAUCUUCGGCAAUGGACGAAAGUCUGACCGAGCAACGCCGCGUGAGUGAAGAAGGUUUUCGGAUCGUAAAACUCUGUUGUUAGAGAAGAACAAGGACGUUAGUAACUGAACGUCCCCUGACGGUAUCUAACCAGAAAGCCACGGCUAACUACGUG
rnacentral:rRNA from 1 species